rnacentral:lncRNA from 1 species
UUAUGAGUAUCCUAUUCUUAGCAGAACCUUAAACUAUAGGAAGAAUCUCAAGAAAAAUCUGACGGUGUGCAAAAAGGCAAAGAAGGUGAGAAUAACAACUAAACUAGGUAAUGAGAUAAAAUGGGAAAGCUACAGCAAACCACACAGAGUUAUUGUGCAUCAUGUGGCUGUUCAAGCUGAUGCCAUUUCAGAUCAACUGAAAAGCGGAUGUUAGAGAUGAGAUGGCUGUUGGAGUUGGAGAUGAGGUUGCUGUCGGAGAUGAUGAGGUGACUGUUGGAGUUGGAGAUGAGGUUGCUGCUGGUGUUGAUGAGGUGGGUGUUGGGAGAAAGACAGUAAGAAAAAUAAUGAUGAUGAUAAGAUGAGCGUUGGGGAGAAAGACAAUAAGGACAAUGAUGAUGAUGAUGAUGAUGAUGAUGAUGAUGGUGACGACUAUAAAGAGGAAAUGUUAGAUUUGGUGCGGUUCGUUAACAACUCCAUUUUACAUAUACCUGAUAGCAACAUCAAAGUGUUAACUGUUGAUGACCCGAAGAUCUUAAGUGUUAGUGUAUUUUGUGAUCUUGUGUCUAAUCUAAUCAAAUGGGUGUUAAUAGAAAUAUUUAGCUCGUCGGAGGAGGAGUACCUGAUGAGGUACUAUUUGUGUUGACUUUUAUUUUGUUUCCCCACUAAUUUUUUCUUGUUCUUACCAUAGCCUCCCAGUUGGAGCCUGCUUUGUGGUGAUGGCUGCGGCUGCAGCAAGCACAGCUGCUGUUGCAGCAAUCACCACCAAUUCUUCUAUUUGUUUUAUAUUUGGAUAGUUUACUUUCUAAUUUUUUACUCCUUUUCUUUGGUAUCUAUUCGUUAACCUGCUGCAUGGAUUAUGAGUGUUAACAAAUUCUUUGUUGUUAACCCGCUAUAUUGCUGUAUGCACUAUGUUUCUUGGGCAUCUUGGCCUGAUGCUUGCUGCUACUUAAGCUUUGGUGCUUGGCUGACAAGAUUAUUUAGAUUUCAUAAUACUUGCUGUAUUGAUCCCUCCCAAGUUACUAUUGGAUAGCUCUAGGACCUCAGAGUAGAGACGCUGAAUAUUUCAAUUGGAAUUCGGCUAUGCCUCUAAAUCUGUCAAUGCUUCCAAGUGUGCCAACAAAUCACAAGGCAUUCAUGUCGAAAUCCAAUCCAAAUUUCUAAGAUUUGCUAUGAUCAUUAGGAUCGAACCACAGAAUUUGUCUCCAUACAGAGAAAGAAUGCAAACUCUUUAGCCUACCGAAGAGGGAAGAGUUCCUGUGAAAUAAUUAUCACUAAGAUUAAGAUUAUGUAAGCUGAUAAAAUUACCUAUAUCUUUAUGUAUGUUGCCUCUUGCCUGGAACUUCAUCGACUGAAAUAGAUAGAAAUGUUUGAAUUAAAACAUCGGAAAAUCUGUGCACCCUCCCAUGGCCACAGGGAUGCCUCCAAGGAGAGCAUUUGUGCUCAUGUUCAGCAUCUAAUGCCUGCUGAGUUGACCGAGCUCCUGAGGUAUCUGCCCAACAAAUUGGUUGAUAAAUGAAGAUCCGUUUGGAUCCUGUUUGUUGGGUGAAGAAACUCCCCCUUCCUCUACUGACACUUAUGAGACCAUGGAGAAGAAUAAGAAGCAAAGGCAGAACAGGAAAAGGAAGAAGGAGGAGAUAUCGAAUCCUGUGGCUGAGCCAUUGGACCCUGAGUCACCACCAGGAGUAGAGCUUCCACAGUGGCAGUGCGCUCUUCUUAAUCCAUCGGAUGAACUGUGUCACUACCUUGAAAACUAGGUGAUUUGUUACAUUUGCAUUGCUUGUUCGUGACCUUAGCACUACUUGUUCGUUACCUCUGCAUUGCUUGUUUGUUACCUCUGCAUUGCUUGUCCACUUGUUCUACUCCUUACCAUAUCCCUUCAUUCGUUGGAAACAGGGUUCUACAGGAGAUGCCACAUGCAGAGGAGAUGUUACGCAUAGAUUUCACUCAUUUUUUAUCUCAGAAUGCGGAGCUCACGUGCACCAUCUACAAUGCCAAAGAGAAACAUGAAGUUGAAUGGUUAGGAACUUGUACAGUUCAAAUUUCAUGCACCAUGAGAGUUUCAAUUUUUAUGUUGUUGAUUAUUUCUUUUUGUUGCAGGGUUAACUCAUAGGUGACCUCAGCUCUUAAAGAUUUGUGUGAGAAGAAUGGACUACCUACACCAGAUUACAAGUUUAUUCGCAAGCCUAAUGGUGAGAUGAUGGUUCAACCUUGUUCUAUUUUUUUAUUAUGAGUGAUAUAUAAUUUUUAUGGUGUCUUAAUGUCAUGUAUCAUAUGGCAUUUUCAUUUUAUAUUUUUUUACCAUGAGUGAUUUCUAAGUAUAUUUUCAUAUAAUGCAGUUGCUUUCCACUAAAAGAGAUUCUAGGUCCACACCACAAGCCCUUCAAAAUAAUUAGGCUAUUAAAAUGAGCUGAUCGGGUCAGGUUAAAGUAGUAACAUCUCGUGGGAAGAAAAUUUUUCGAAUCCUUCUUGGAGUGAUAUUGAUGAUGCUUCGAGAUGUAUACACUUGGGAUGGAAAACUUUGUCGUAAUGAUAUUUAUUGGUCUGAGUUUAGAGGGUUGGUUCAGAUCCAGGUUCUUAGAAGGCCAACAAAAGAGAAUGUCAAAACUGAGCAAUUAAUAUAAGUUAUAAAGAGUAUUUAGGCUAAUAUGAUGAUCCCUUAUUUUGAGGUUGAAGGUGAAAUACUUCCCAUAUACUUUGCAAGGCUGAAGAAUGAUCUCCCGAAGGGUGUUGAAAGUUUUGUUGGAUCAAAAUGGUAUUUAGAUUACCAUCUCUACCACCCAGCAUUUGCUUCACCAUCAGCAAGACACAAUUUUAUACUUGAAAUACAUUUAGUUUCGAAAUCCUUCCGUUUCAAGAACAGUUCGCUCUUGAUGAAUCUUUUAACAGAGGUACCCAAGUAGAUUUGGCGUGAGGAUGCUUAUGAGUAUCCUAUUCUUAACAGAAUCUUAAACUAUAGAAAGAAUCUCAAGAAAAAUCUGAUGGUGUGCAAAAAGGCAAAUGAGGUGAGAAUAACAACUAAACUAGGUAAUGAGAUAUAAUAGGAAAGCUACAGCAAACCACACAGAGUUAUUGUUCAUCAUGAGGCUGUUCAAGCUGAUGCCAUUUCAGAUCAACUGAUAGCGGAUGUUAGAGAUGAGGUGGCUGUUGGAGUUGAAGAUGAGGUUGUUGUCGGAGAUGAUGAGGUGACUGUUGGAGUUGGAGAUGAGGUUGCUACUGGUGAUGAUGAGGUGAGUGUUGGGAGAAAGGCAGUAAGGAAAAUAAUGAUGAUGAUAAGAUGAGCGUUGGGGAGAAAGACAAUAAGGAUAAUGAUGAUGAUGAUGAUAAUGAUGAUGACGACAAUAAUAAUGAUGAUGAUGAUGAUGAUGAUGAUAAUGAUAAUGAUGAUGAUGGUGACGACUAUAAAGAGGAAAGGUUAGAUUUGGUACGGUUCGUCAAGAACUCCAUUUCACAUAUACCUAAUAGCAACAUCAAAGUGUUAACAGUUGAUGAACCGGAGAUCUUAAAAGCUAGUGUAUUUGGUGAUCUUGUGUCUAAUCUAAUCAAAUGGGUGUUAAUAGAAAUAUUUAGCUCGUCGGAGGAGGAGUACCUGAAGAGGUACUAUUUGCGUUGACUUUUAUUUUACUUCCAUACUAUUUUGUUCUUGUUCUUACCAUAGCCCCCCAGUCGGAGCCUGCUUUGUGGUGAUGGCUGCGGCUGCAGCAAGCACAGCUGCUGUUGCAGCAAUCACCACCAAUUCUUCUAUUUGUUUUCUAUUUGAAUAGUUUACUUUCUUAUUUUUUUACUCCUUUUCUUUGGUAUCUAAAAGGGUCUUCCAUUUUUCCUUGCAUUUUACAGGGUUACGGACGUAUGCAGUGCCUAUGCAGCCUGUGUUGACAACCAAGAAAAGUAUUGAAGCCAGUUAAGCAAAGCAGCCUUAACUUACUGCGCACCUCGUCGCCUUCACUUAUUUAUUUUCGUCAAAGCAGAUCUUUAACACUAGUGACAGACUGUUAGACCAAUGAAGAAGACUGACCCCUGCGAGCCAUUCUGCCUUGCAAUUGCUUAUUUUUGGCAUGGCAGAUCUUUAACACUAGCGCACCUGUGGGAUCCGUUAACCUACUGUAUGGAUUAUGAGUGUUAACCUAUUGUUUGUUAUUAACAUGCUAUAUUGAUGUAUGCACUAUGUGUCUUGGGCAACUUGGCCUGAUGCUUGCUGCUACUUAAGCUUUGGUGCUUGGCUGACAAGAUUAUUUAGAUUUUAUAAUACUUGCUGUAUUGAUCCCUCCCAAGUUACUAUCGGACAGCUCUAGGAUCUCAGAGUAGAGAUGUUGAAUAUUUUAAUUGGAAUUCGGCUGUGCCAAUAAAUCUGUCAAUUCUUGCAAGUGUGCCAACAAAUCAAAAGGCAUUCGUGUCAAAAUCCAAUCCAAAUCUCUAAGAUUUGCUAUGAUCAUUAGGAUCGAACCACAGAAUUUGUCUCUAUAUAAAGAAAUAAUGCAAACUCUUAACUUACUGAGGUGGGAAGAGUUCCUGUGAAAUAAUUAUCACUAAGAUGAAGAUUAUGUAAGCUGAUGAAAUUUAUUAUAUCUUUUUAUAUGUUGCCUCCUGCCUGACACUUCAUCGAUUGAAAUAGAUAGAAAUGCUUGAAUUGAAACAUCGAAAAAUUGGUGGACCCUCAUAUGGUUGUAGGGAUGCUUCCACGGAGAGCAUUUGUGCUAAGGUUCAACAUCCGAAGCCUGUUGAGUUGACCGAGCUUCUGAGGUAUCUGCCCUACAAAAUGGUUGAUAAAUAAAGAUCCGUUUGGAUCCUAUUUGUUGGGUGAAGAAACUCCCCCUUCCUCUACUAACACUUAUGAGACCAUGGAGAAAAAUAAGAAGCAAAGGCAGAACAGGAAAAGGAAGAAGGAGGAGAUAUCGAAUCCUGUGGCUGAGCCGUUGGACCCUGAGUCACCACCAGGAGUAGAGCUUCCACAGUGGCACUGCGCUCUUCUUAAUCCAUCGGAUGAACUGUGUCACUACCUCGAAAACUAGGUGAUUUGUUACAUUUGCAUUGCUUGUUCGUGACCUUAGCACUGCUUGUUCGUUACCUCUGCAUUGCUUGUUUGCUACCUCUGCAUUGCUUGUCCACUUGUUCUACUCCUUACCAUGUCCCUUCACCCGUUGGAAACAGAGUUCUGCAGGAGAUGCCACAUGCAGAGGAGACGCUAUGCAUAGAUUUUACUCAUUUUUUAUCUCAUAAUGCGGAGCUCGCGUGCACCAUCUGCAAUGCCAAAGAGAAACAUGAAGUUGAAUGGUUAGGAACUUGUACAGUUUACAUUUGAUGCACCAUGAGAGUUUCAAUUUUUAUGUUGUUGAUCAUUUCUUUUUGUUGCAGGGUUAACUCAUAGGUGGCCUCAGCUCUUAAAGAUUUGUGUGAGAAGAAUGGACUACCUACACCAGAUUACCAGUUUAUUCGCAAGCGUAAUUGGUGAGAUGAUGGUUCAACCUUGUUCUAUUUUUUUACUAUGAGUGACAUAUAAUUUUUAAGGUGUCUUAAUGUCAUGUGUCAUAUGGCAUUUCCUUAUUAUAUUGUUUUUUUACCAUGAGUGGUUUCUAAGCAUAUUUUCUUAUAAUGCAGUUGCUUUCCACUAAAAGAGAUUCUAGGUUCUCACCACAAGCCCUUCAAAAUAAUUAGGCUAUUUAAAAGAGCUGAUUGGGUCACGGUUAAAGUAGUAACAUCUCGUGGGAAGAAAAAAUUUCAAACCCUUCUUGGAGUGAUAUUGAUGAUGCUUCGAGAUGUAUACACUUGGGAUGGAAAAUUUUGUCUUAAUGAUAUUUAUUGGUUUGUGUUUAGAGGGUUGGUUCAAAUCCAGGUUCUUAGAAGGCCAACAAAAGAGAAUGUCAAAACUGAGCAAUUAAUAUAAGUUAUAAAGAGUAUUUAUACUAAUAUGACGGUCCCUUAUUUUGAGGUUGAAGGUGAAAUACUUCUCAUAUACUUUGCAAGGCUGAAGAAUGAUCCCCCGAAUUUGCUUCACCAUCAGCAAGACACAAUUUUAGACUUGAAAUACAUUUAGAUUCGAAAUCCUUCCAUUUCAAGAACAGUUCACUCUUAAUGAAUCUUUUAAUAGAAUUACCCAAAUAGAUUUGGCGUGAGGAUGCUUAUGAGUAUCCUAUUCUUAGCAGAACCUUAAACUAUAGGAAGAAUCUCAAGAAAAAUCUGACGGUGUGCAAAAAGGCAAAUAAGGUGAGAAUAACAAUUAAACUAGGUAAUGAGAUAGAAUGGGAAAGUUACAGCAAACCACACAGAGUUAUUGUGCAUCAUGUGGCUGUUCAAGCUGAUGCCAUGUCAGAUCAACCGAAAGCGGCUGUUGGAGGUGAGGUGGCUGUUGGAGUUGGAGAUGAGGUUGCUGUCGUAGAUAAUGAGGUGACUAUUGGAGUUGGAGAUAAGGUUGCUGCUGGUGAUGAUGAGGUGAGUGUUGGGGAGAAAGACAGUAAGAAAAAUAAUGAUGAUGAUAAGAUGAGCAUUGGGGAGAAAGACAAUAAGGAAAAUGAUGAUGAUGAUGAUGAUGAUGAUGAUGAUGAUGAUUAUGGUGACGACUAUAAAGAGGAAAGGUUAGAUUUGGUGCGAUUUGUCAAGAACUCCAUUUCACAUAUACCUGAUUGCAACAUCAAAGUGUUAACUGUUGAUGACCCGGAGAUCUUAAGUGCCAGUGUAUUUGUUAUCUUUGGCCUGUUCCUUUCAGCUUAUUAGCCACAAAACAGUGUUUUCCUCCCACAACAAAUCAGCUAUUUCAGCUAUUCUGCCGGCUUAUAAGCUGAAGCGAACAUGCCCCUUGUGUCUAAUCUAAUCAAAUGGUGUUAAUAGCAAUAUUUAGCUCGUAAAGGAGGACUACUUGAAGAGGUACUAUGUGCGUUGCCUUUUAUUCUGUUUCCCCACUAUUUUAUUCUUGUUCUUACCAUAGCCCCCCUUUUGGAGCCUGCUUUGUGGUGAUGGUUGCGGCUGCAGCAAGCACAGCUGUUGUUGCGGCAAUCACCACCAAUUCUUCUAUUUGUUUUCCAUUUGGAUAGUUUACUUCCUUAUUUUUUACUCCUUUUCUUUGGUAUCUAAUCGGGUCUUCCAUUUUUCUUGCAUUUUACAGGGUUACGGACGUGUGGAGUGCCUAUGCAGCCUGUAUUGAUAACCAACAAAAGUAUUGAAGUUAGUUAAGCAAAGCAGCCUUAACUUACUGCGCACCUCGUCGCCUUCACUUAUUUCUUUUCGUCAUAGCAGAUCUUUAACACUAGUGACAGACUGUUAGACCUGUGAAGUAGGUUGACCCCUGCGAGCCUUUCUGCCUUGCAAUUGCUUAUUUUUGGCAUGGCAGAUCUUUAACACUAGCGCACCUGUGGGAUCCGUUAACCUGCUGCAUGGAUUAUGAGUGUUAACCUAUUGUUUGUUGUUAACACGCUAUAUUGAUGUAUGCACUAUGUUUCUUGGGCAUCUUGGCCUGAUGCUUGCUGCUACUUAAGCUCUGGUGCUUGAAUGACAAGAUUAUUUAGAUUUCAUAAUACUUGCUGUAUUGAUCCCUCCCAAGUUACUAUCGGACAGCUCUAGGAUCUCAGAGUAGAGAUGCUGAAUAUUUUAAUUGGAAUUCGGCUGUGCCAAUAAAUCUGUCAAUUCUUGCAAGUGUGCCAACAAAUCAAAAGGCAUUCGUGUCGAAAUCCAAUCCAAAUCUCUAAGAUUUGCUAUGAUCAUUAGGAUCGAACCACAGAAUUUGUCUCUAUAUAGAGAAAUAAUGCAAACUCUUAUGCUUACUGAGGUGGGAAGAGUUCAUGUGAAAUAAUUAUCACUAAGAUCAAGAUUAUGUAAGCUGAUGAAAUUUCUUAUGUCUUUUGAUAUGUUGCCUCUUGCCUGGAACUUCAUCGAUUGAAAUAGAUAGAAAUGUUUGAAUUGAAAGAUCGAAAAAUCGGUGCACCCUCAUAUAGUUGUAGGGAUGCUUCCAUGGAGAGCAUUUGUGCUCAGGUUCAGCAUCCGAAGCCUGCUGAGUUGACCGAGCUUCUGAGGUAUCUGCCCUACAAAUUGGUUGAUAAAUGAAGAUCCGUUGGGAUCCUGUUUGUUGGGUGAAGAAACUCCCCCUUCCUCUACUGACACUUAUGAGACCAUGGAGAAGAAUAAGAAGCAAAGACAGAACAGGAAAAGGAAGAAGGAGGAGCAACCGAAACCUGUGGCCAAGCCGUUGGACCCUGAGUCACCACUAGGAGUAGAGCUUCCACAGUGGCACUGCGCUGUUCUUAAUCCAUCGGAUGAACUAUGUCACUACCUCGAAAACUAGGUGAUUUGUUACAUUUGCAUUGCUUGUUCGUUACCUCUGCAUUGCUUGUGUGCACCAUCUGCAAUGCCAAAGAGAAACAUGAAGUUGAAUGGUUAGGAACUUAUACAGUUCACAUUUCAUGCGCCAUGAGAGUUUCAAUUUAUAUGUUGUUGAUUAUUUCUUUUUGUUGCAGGUUUAACUCAUAGGUGGCCUCAGCUCUUAAAGAUUUGUGUGAGAAGAAUGGACUACCUACAUCAGAUUACCAGUUUAUUCGGAAGCCUAAUUGGUGAGAUGAUGGUUCAACCUUGUUCUAUUUUUUUACUAUGAGUGACAUAUAAUUUUUAUGGUGUCUUAAUGUCAUGUAUCAUAUGGCGUUUUCUUGUUGUAUUUUUUUUUACCAUGAGUGAUUUCUAAGCAUAUUUUCUUAUAAUGCAGUUGCUUUCCACUAAAAGAGAUUUUAGGUUCUCACCAGAAGCCCUUCAAAAUAAUUAGGCUAUUUAAAAGAGCUGAUCGGGUCACGGUUAAAGUAGUAACAUCUCGUGGGAAGAAAAUUUUUCAAACCCUUCUUGGAGUGAUAUUGAUGAUGCUUCGAGAUGUAUACACUUGGGAUGGAAAACUUUGUCUUAAUGAUAUUUAUUGGUCUGUGUUUAGAGGGUUGGUUUAGAUCCAGGUUCUUAGAAGGCCAAUAAAAUAGAAUGUCAAAACUGAGCAAUUAAUAUAAGUUAUAAAGGGUAUUUAGACUAAUAUGAUGGUCCCUUAUUUUGAGGUUGAAGGUGAAACACUUCCCAUAUACUUUGCAAGUCUCAAGAAUGAUCUCCCGAAGGGUGUCGAAAGUUUUGUUGGAUCAAAAUGGUAUUUAGAUUACCUUCUCUACCACCCAGCAUUUGCUUCACCAUCAGCAAGACACAAUUUUAUACUUGAAAUACAUUUAGUUUCAAAAUCCUUCCAUUUCAAGAACAGUUCGCUCUUAAUGAAUCUUUUUACAGAUGUACCAAAUAGAUUUGGCGUGAGGAUGCUUAUGAGUAUCCUAUUCUUAGCAGAACCUUAAACUAUAGAAAGAAUCUCAAGAAAAAUCUGACGGUGUGCAAAAAGGCCAAUGAGGUGAGAAUAACAACUAAACUAGGUAAUAAAAUAGAAUGGGAAAGCUACAACAAACCACACAGAGUUAUUGUGCAUCAUGUGGCUGUUCAAGCUGAUGCCAUUUCAGAUCAACUGAAAGCAGAUGUUAGAGAUGAGGUGGCUGUUGGAGGUGGAGAUGAGGUUGCUGUUGGAGAUGAUGAGGUGACUGUUGGAGUUGAAGAUGAGGUUGCUGCUGUGAUGAUGAGGUGAGUGUUGGGAGAAAGAUAGUAAGAAAAAUAAUGAUGAUGAUAAGAUGAGCGUUGGGGAGAAAGACAAUAAGGACAAUGAUGAUGAUGAUGAUGAUGAUGAUGAUGAUGAGUAUAAAGAGGAAAGGGUAGAUUUGGUGCGGUUCGUCAAGAACUUUAUUUCACAUAUACCUAAUAGCAACAUCAAAGUGUUAACCGUUGAUGACACAAAGAUCUUAAGUGCUAGUGUAUUUGGUGAUCUUGUGUCAGAUCUAAUCAAAUGGGUGUUAAUAGCAAUAUUUAGCUCGUCGGAGGAGGAGUACCUGAAGAGGUACUAUUUGCGUUGCCUUUUAUUCUAUUUCCCCCUAUUUUGUUCUUGUUCUUGCCAUAGCCCCCCUCUUGGAGCCUGCUUUUUGGUGAUGGCUGCGGCUGCAGCAAGCACAGCUGCUGUUGCAGCAAUCACCACCAAUUCUUCUAUUUAUUUUCCAUUUGGAUAGUUUACUUUCUUAUUUUUUACUUCUUUUCUUUUGUAUCUAAUUGGGUCUUCCAUUUUUCCUUGCAUUUUUUAGGGUUACGGACGUGUGGAGUGCAUGUAGCCUGUGUUGACAACCAGGAAAAGUAUUGAAGGCAGUUAAGCAAAUCAGCCUUAACUUACUACGCCUCUUGCCACCUUUAGUUAUUUCUUUUCAUCAUAGCAAAUCUUUAAUACUAGUGACAGACUGUUAGACCAGUGAAGCA